CAAUAGCGUAUAUUAACGUUGUUGCUGUUAAAAAGCUCGUAGUUGGAUUUCUGGCGCCUCAGGGUGUGCCACCCAUUGGGCCUUCGUGUCCUCUGGUGUUCGUGCAUGCUUUUUUCGAGGCGCCAUUCCUUCCGAUCUUCCUGGAUGGCGCUCACGCGUCGUCUUGUGAUAGAGCGGAUCUUUUACUUUGAAAAAAUUAGAGUGUUCAAAGCAAUCGUGGCGUUGAAUACAUUAGCAUGGAAUAAUGAGAUAGGACUUCGGUCCUGUUUUGUUGGCUUCUGGGACUGAAGUAAUGAUUGAUAGGGACAGUUGGGGGCACUCGUAUUAGGUGGCCAGAGGUAAAAUUCAGUGACCCACCUAAGACGAACACUAGCGAAAGCAUCUGCCCAGUAUGUCUUCUUUAA
rnacentral:rRNA from 1 species